CUUUUCCAGAAAAAUGUUUGUUUCCUAACAUUUGGGAACUGCACUAUUGAAUGCCUCUGAGUACAGCUGAGGCCAGUUCUCUAGCAAUUGGAAGUUCCACCUGUGAAUAGUCUUGGGGAAUGCCUGGUUUCAGGUUUCUGUUCAGCAGCUGCUGUGGUAGUGGGUAGAGUGUGCUGUGGGCAGGGUGGUGACAACUGAUCUUUUUGUUCUUCUGUUUGCGUGUGCAACAGCUUUCAAUAGCUUCCCAACCACACUGCUGCAUGUGUUCUUUAUUCUGCAGGAAUCUGAUUGUCACUGAUAUGCCACUGACUUGUGCUUCUGGGAAACACCUUUACCUUCAAAUGCUGCAUCCAACCCAGCCAGACGGGAGUGUCUGGCAGACUCUGGACGUCCAAGGUAAAAAGUUAUAAGUUGGCUUGCUACUCUGAAUUCAUUUUUAAGCAAAAUCAUCCUUGGAGAACAAUAGUUACAGAUAUAGGCCAGAAGAACCCUGAAAUUCAUCAAGGUGAAGUUUUGAGGUUUGCUGGAGUUAUUACAGCUGAUUUUGCCCCAGGCACAGUUCACUGGGGAGCUGGUACCUGGGGUUCCACUGAUAUCCCUGUCACUGGCAAGGUUUGAAGACUGCACUUCUGUAACAAUGUUUAUCCCGAGAGCUGUUGUUCACAUGUGGGUAGCAAUUGCAAUAAAUAGAUUUACAGCAAAGCA
ensembl:lncRNA